rnacentral:rRNA from 1 species
UGAGGAAUAUUGGUCAAUGGGCGAGAGCCUGAACCAGCCAAGUAGCGUGCAGGACGACGGCCCUAUGGGUUGUAAACUGCUUUUAUAUGGGGAUAAAGUGAGCUACGUGUAGCUUAUUGCAGGUACCAUAUGAAUAAGGACCGGCUAAUUCCGUGCCAGCAGCCGCGGUAAUACGGAAGGUCCAGGCGUUAUCCGGGAUUUAUUGGGUUUAAAGGGAGCGUAGGCCGCCCCUUAAGCGUGUUGUGAAAUGCCGCGGCUCAACCCGUGGCACUGCAGCGCGAACU